rnacentral:rRNA from 1 species
UACGAACCGUACGAACGUUAUUCGGAAUCACUGGGCUUAAAGGGUGCGUAGGCUGCGCAGAAAGUUGGGUGUGAAAUCCCUCGGCUCAACCGAGGAACUGCGCCCAAAACUACUGUGCUCGAGGGAGACAGAGGUGAGCGGAACUUAGGGUGGAGCGGUGAAAUGCGUUGAUAUCCUAAGGAACACCGGUGGCGAAAGCGGCUCACUGGGUCUCUUCUGACGCUGAGGCACGAAAGCUAGGGUAGCGAACGGG